CUAAGUGGCGGACGGGUGAGUAAUGUAUAGUUAAUCUGCCCUUUAGAGGGGGAUAACAGUUGGAAACGACUGCUAAUACCCCAUACUCCUUUUACAUUAAUUGUAAUUGGGAAACGUUUUUUCGCUAAAGGAUGAGACUAUGUGGUAUCAGGUAGUUGGUGGGGUAAGAGCCUACCAAGCCAAUGACGCCUAGCUGGUCUGAGAGGAUGAUCAGCCACACUGGAACUGAGACACGGUCCAG
rnacentral:rRNA from 1 species